rnacentral:rRNA from 1 species
UAGUCCACGCCGUAAACGAUGUCUACUAGCUGUUUGUGUCCUUGAGACGUGAGUGGCGCAGCUAACGCACUAAGUAGACCGCCUGGGGAGUACGGUCGCAAGAUUAAAACUCAAAUGAAUUGACGGGGGCCCGCACAAGCGGUGGAGCAUGUGGUUUAAUUCGAUGCAACGCGAAGAACCUUACCAUCCCUUGGCAUCCACAGAAUUAUUCAGAGAUGAAUUUGUGCCUUCGGGAACUGUGAGACAGGUGCUGCAUGGCUGUCGUCAGCUCGUGUUGUGAAAUGUUGGGUUAAGUCCCGCAACGAGCGCAACCCUUAUCCUUAGUUGCCAUCAGUUAGGCUGGGAACUCUAAGGAGACUGCCGGUGACAAACCGGAGGAAGGUGGGGACGACGUCAAGUCAUCAUGGCCCUUACGGGAUGGGCUACACACGUGCUACAAUGGACGGUACAGAGGGCUGCAAGCCAGCGAUGGUUAGCGAAUCUCUUAAAGCCGUUCGUAGUCC